CUACCGGCGUCGAAAGGUGUCGGGAUGGGGCGGCAGAAGUCAGCACACGCCGUAGUAGCCGGACCAACCGGUGAAGGGC
rfam:Rhizobium yanglingense strain CCBAT 01603 genomic scaffold C513, whole genome shotgun sequence.